AAGGCCUAAAAGCAGCAAUCACCCACUUUGGG
rnacentral:piRNA from 1 species